UUCGCAAUGCCCGAAAGGGUGACGAAGCGACGCCGCGUGUGGGAAGAAGGCCUUCGGGUUGUAAACCACUGUCGGGAGUUAGGAAAUGUAAGGGUGCUAAUAGUAUCCUUACUUGACUAAGGCUCCGGAGGAAGCCACGGCUAACUCUGUGCCAGCAGCCGCGGUAAUACAGAGGCGGCAAGCGUUGUUCGGAAUUAUUGGGCGUAAAGAGCACGUAGGCGGCCUUGUAAGUCAGUUGUGAAAGCCUUCUGCUUAACGGAAGAACAGCAGUUGAAACUACAGGGCUUGAGUGCGGGAGGGGAGAGUGGAACUUCUGGUGGAGCGGUGAAAUGCGUAGAUAUCAGAAGGAACGCCGGCGGCGAAAGCGGCUCUCUGGUCCGCAACUGACGCUGAGUGUGCGAAAGCUAGGGGAGCAAACGGGAUUAGAUACCCCGGUAGUCCUAGCCGUAAACGAUGGGCACUAAGUAGAGGGGUUUU
rnacentral:rRNA from 1 species